UACAGGGGGCGCGAGCGUUGCUCGGAAUCACUGGGCGUAAAGCGAACGCAGGCGGACCGUUAAGUCGCAUGUGAAAGCCCGGGGCUCAACCCCGGAAGUGCAUGCGAAACUGGCGGUCUUGAGUACGGGAGAGGUGGGUGGAAUUCCUGGUGUAGAGGUGAAAUUCGUAGAUAUCAGGAGGAACACCGGUGGCGAAGGCAGCCCCCUGGGAUAACACUGACGCUCAUGCACGAAAGCGUGGGGAGCAAACAGGG
rnacentral:rRNA from 1 species